rnacentral:rRNA from 1 species
GUACAUCCAGAGACUUAGCAGAGAUGCUUUGGUGCCUUCGGGAACUCUGAGACAGGUGCUGCAUGGCUGUCGUCAGCUCGUGUUGUGAAAUGUUGGGUUAAGUCCCGCAACGAGCGCAACCCUUAUCCUUUGUUGCCAGCGGUUCGGCCGGGAACUCAAAGGAGACUGCCGGUGAUAAACCGGAGGAAGGUGGGGAUGACGUCAAGUCAUCAUGGCCCUUACGGCCAGGGCUACACACGUGCUACAAUGGCGCAUACAAAGAGAAGCGACCUCGCGAGAGCAAGCGGACCUCAUAAAGUGCGUCGUAGUCCGGAUUGGAGUCUGCAACUCGACUCCAUGAAGUCGGAAUCGCUAGUAAUCGUAGAUCAGAAUGCUACGGUGAAUACGUUCCCGGGCCUUGUACACACCGCCCGUCACACCAUGGGAGUGGGUUGCAAAAGAAGUAGGUAGCUUAACCUUCGGGAGGGCGCUUACCACUUUGUGAUUCAUGACUGGGGUGAAGUCGUAACAAGGUAGGCGUAGCGAG